GAGUCUUAACCGGGCGUUAAGUUGCAGGGUAUAGACCCGAAACCCGGUGAUCUAGCCAUGGGCAGGUUGAAGGUUGGGUAACACUAACUGGAGGACCGAACCGACUAAUGUUGAAAAAUUAGCGGAUGACCUGUGGCUGGGGGUGAAAGGCCAAUCAAACCGGGAGAUAGCUGGUUCUCCCCGAAAGCUAUUUAGGUAGCGCCUCGUGAAUUCAUCUCCGGGGGUAGAGCACUGUUUCGGCUAGGGGGCCAUCCCGGCUUACCAACCCGAUGCAAACUGCGAAUACCGGAGAAUGUUAUCACGGGAGACACACGGCGGGUGCUAACGUCCGUCGUGAAGAGGGAAACAACCCAGACCGCCAGCUAAGGUCCCAAAGUCAUGGUUAAGUGGGAAACGAUGUGGGAAGGCCCAGACAGCCAGGAUGUUGGCUUAGAAGCAGCCAUCAUUUAAAGAAAGCGUAAUAGCUCACUGGUCGAGUCGGCCUGCGCGGAAGAUGUAACGGGGCUAAACCAUGCACCGAAGCUGCGGCAGCGACACUCAGGUGUUGUUGGGUAGGGGAGCGUUCUGUAAGCCUGUGAAGGUGGCCUGUGAGGGUUGCUGGAGGUAUCAGAAGUGCGAAUGCUGACAUAAGUAACGAUAAAGCGGGUGAAAAGCCCGCUCGCCGGAAGACCAAGGGUUCCUGUCCAACGUUAAUCGGGGCAGGGUGAGUCGACCCCUAAGGCGAGGCCGAAAGGCGUAGUCGAUGGGAAACGGGUUAAUAUUC
rnacentral:rRNA from 1 species